UACAGAGGUCUCAAGCGUUGUUCGGAUUCAUUGGGCGUAAAGGGUGCGUAGGUGGUGAAGUAAGUCGGAUGUGAAAUCUCCGGGCUCAACCCGGAAAUGGCAUUGGAAACUACCUUGCUGGAGGGUUUGAGGGGGGAUUGGAAUACUUGGUGUAGCAGUGAAAUGCGUAGAUAUCAAGUGGAACACCAGUGGCGAAGGCGAAUCCCUGGAAAAUACCUGACACUGAGGCACGAAAGCUAGGGGAGCAAACAGG
rnacentral:rRNA from 1 species